rnacentral:rRNA from 1 species
CAAUCGAACCCGGAGAUAGCUGGUUCUCCUCGAAAUAGCUUUAGGGCUAGCCUCGAUUUAGUCUUAUGGAGGUAGAGCACUGAAUUUCCGCGGGGGCGUCAAAGCUUACCAAAGAAUAUCAAACUCCGAAUGCCAUGUAGAUGAUGAACGGGAGUCAGACUGCACGAGAUAAGUUGGGCAGUCAAAAGGGAAAGAGCCCAGACCACCGGCUAAGGUCCCAAAGUGCGUGUUAAGUGGAAAAGGAUGUGGGAAUUCGAAGACAACUAGGAUGUUGGCUCAGAAGCAGCCAUACAUUCAAAGAGUGCGUAAUAGCUCACUAGUCGAGAGGUCCUGCGCCGAAAAUGUCCGGGGCUGAAACACGACACCGAAGCUUAGGAAUCACAUAGUGAUUGGUAGAGGAGCAUUCUUAAAACCGACGAAGCUGUACCGGAAGGAGCAGUGGAGGGAUAAGAAGAGAGAAUGCCGGAAUGAGUAGCGAGAGAAAGGUGGGAAUCCUUUCGGCCGAAUAUCUAAGGUUUCCAGAGUAAAGCUGAUCUGCUCUGGGUAAGUCGGGGCCUAAGCACAGGUCGCAAGACGUAAGCGAUGGAUAACAGGUUUAGAUUCCUGUACCACGCAUUAUCAGAACUGUAGGGACGCAUGUGGAAAGCACGAGCCGGGAAUGGAAAGACCGGUACAAGCGAGGUAGGUGUACAAUAGGCAAAUCCGUUGUAUGAUCCGAAGACGUGAUGUGGAGCGAAAUAAAGUAGUGAAGCGUGUGAGCCAUGUGCCGAGAAAAGCUGCUAUUGUGUAAUGCGUGCCCGUACCGUAAACCGACACAGGUGGAUGAGGAGAGAAUCCUAAGGCCGACGGAAGAAGCAUUGUUAAGGAAUUCGGCAAAAUGACCCCGUAACUUCGGGAGAAGGGGUGCCUGCGAGAGCAGGCCGCAGAGAAUAGGCUCAAGCAACUGUUUAGCAAAAACACAGGUCUAUGCGAAACCGAAAGGUGAAGUAUAUGGGCUGACGCCUGCCCGGUGCUGGAAGGUUAAGAGGAGAGGUUAGCGCAAGCGAAGCUUUGAAUUUAAGCCCCAGUAAACGGCGGCCGUAACUAUAACGGUCCUAAGGUAGCGAAAUUCCUUGUCGGGUAAG